UUAUACACACACACACAAACACAGAGUGUUUUUAUGUUUUUUAGUUAAGUAAAAGAAUUUGAAGGGGGGGUGAGGAUAGAUAAUUGGAAAUAAAGAGUCUCACACGCUUUCAUGCCCAGUGUGGUUUUGAACUGUGAUCCUUAGAUCUCAGCCUUGCAGGUAGCUAGAAUUAAAGGCAUGGGCCACUGGCAAGUAAACUAAUUUCUUAUUUUGGUUCUCCUCAGUAAACUACUAGAAGACAAAGAAACCCAAUGCACCUUAUUGGGUACUGUGUGAUUAUGCCUUUAGUCUAUGUGAAGAGGCAUGUCCUAUGAAAUAGCUGGGGGACAAACAGCAAGCUAGGAAAUGAAAUUGCCCAGCAACUUCAUGGUUACCACUUGUUCAUGUCCAACUCAGCACUAGUUUCAGUCACAGUAAAUUAGAAGUCAUCAGUAAUGUAUUAGCUUAGAGUGAAAAACCUAUCCUUAAAUAUUUUUAGACUGUGAGGACAACAAAAGAAGCUCACCACAUAAUAAAUCUAUAAAGUUGAAUAUCUUCUUCUCCAUAAGCUUCAGUUUGUUGCUGGGUGCUGGUGGCUCAGGCCUGUAAUCCUAACUACUCCAGAGGCUGAGAUCUGAGGAUCACAAAUCAAAGCCAGCCUGGGCAGGAAAGUUCAUGAGCUUCUUAUCUCCAAUAAAGUACUCAGAAAAAGCCAGAAGUGGCACUAUAGUUCAAGUGGUAGUGUUAGCCUUGAACAAAAAUGUAGCUCAGGGACAGUGUCCAGGCUGAGCUCAAACAAACUUCAGUUUGUAGAUGUACUGUCUCUUUCCCAUUAGUGUCUAGUCAUUUCUUUGGGCUUAUGCCACCAGCUUAUAAAAUUGCCAAAGUUAACAAAUUAGAAUAAUGAUUUUGCUUGCUUUCAGCGUACUAAAAGAUAGGUUGAAAACAAGAACAAUUUAAUUCUACAGCUUCCCUGCCUUCUCGUUGUAUGAUUUUGUUUUCAUUUUCAAUUGCUUUUCUUUCUACAGACUUUGAGGCAUGAUCCCACUUACUGAGAAGUCAGUGCAUAUUUUGUUUCAAAGUGAAACAAAGCACAGAUAUUGAACUUGUAUUAAUCCACAUGAGUGUGUACAAGCACAUGUAUAAUGCAUAUAUCCCCUUUCAGGUGGGAAGAGUAAACCCAUUGCUUUAGUGUCCUUACUCAUUCCUACUACACAGAGAUUAUGCUUUACCUUGUCUUAUAUCUGUUUGAAGCUUUAAGAGACAUUUUCAAUAACUAUUUUAUUGUCCCAAAGAAGCUUGCUAUUUUUGUGUAAUUGAGAGUACCUGGUUGUUUUUCCCUAGUUUUUCUUUUCUUUCUUUCUCUCUCUUUUUUCUCACCUCUCUUUUGCUC